GAGGGGGAGAGAAAUAGGGAGGGGCGAGACAGAAGGUGAAAGAUUGUCAGACCUGCACAGCCUUAGUUAAAGUGGUAGAUGAUCUCACAGCCAACACAGACGCCAAAGAACUCUCGGUGUGCUGCAUUCGACACUGUCGACCAUCAUGUCCUUCUGGACAGACUGGAGAGGUUCCCUGGACGCUGCAGUCUGCAAGAGGCCACUGCCGCAUUCCGACCGGGCUACGCCAAGAAAGAGAGGGAGAGGGGAAGAGGGAGAGGUAGACAGAGGGGGGGGAUAAGAGCAUCUGCUAAAUGACUAAAAUGUCAAAUGUAAAAGUCUUACAUACAGAUCUCAUAUUACUGUAUUGAACCAUGUUAUCUUUAUAUUCAUGUCACAAAUGUACCAUUUGUACAGUUCUUUAUUAAAAAUGGCGUUAUUUGUUACAUUUCACUGUUCAAAACGACUUAUUUCUCUGAAGUGAGGCGGAUAUAUAGCAUUUUGAAAUAAACAUGAUUAUGACUA